AACGAACGCUGGCGGCAGGCCUAACACAUGCAAGUCGAACGCUCCAGCAAUGGAGAGUGGCAGACGGGUGAGUAACGCGUGGGAACCUUCCCUAUGGUUCGGAAUAGCCCAGGGAAACUUGGGGUAAUACCGAAUAAGCCCUUCGGGGGAAAGAUUUAUCGCCAUUGGAUGGGCCCGCGUCGGAUUAGCUAGUUGGUGGGGUAACGGCCUACCAAGGCGACGAUCCGUAGCUGGUCUGAGAGGAUGAUCAGCCACACUGGGACUGAGACACGGCCCAGACUCCUACGGGAGGCAGCAGUGGGGAAUAUUGGACAAUGGGCGCAAGCCUGAUCCAGCCAUGCCGCGUGAGUGACGAAGGCCUUAGGGUUGUAAAGCUCUUUUGGCGGGGAAGAUAAUGAUGGUACCCGCAGAAUAAGCUCCGGCUAACUUCGUGCCAGCCGCCGCUGUAAAAC
rnacentral:rRNA from 1 species